rnacentral:rRNA from 1 species
GACGGAGGGUGCUAGCGUUGUUCGGAAUCACUGGGCGUAAAGGGCGCGUAGGCGGCCUCAGGUGUCGGAUGUGAAAGCCCGGGGCUCAACCCCGGAGGUGCAUCCGAAACUCUGGGGCUGGAGGUCGGAAGAGGAGGGUGGAAUACCCAGUGUAGAGGUGAAAUUCGUAGAUAUUGGGUGGAACACCGGUGGCGAAAGCGGCUCUCUGGUCCGGACCUGACGCUGAGCGCGAAAGCGUGGGGAGCAAACAGG